GGCGCAGGUCGCCCUGACCGUGAGAAGGUCGAACCUCAGGGCCUCAGUCACGUGAGAAGCAGGUGGAGUGAUCUUCAGACCGCAGCAGUGCCUUCCCUCACCCCUUACCUCCUGUGGGUGCAGCAGAUGGAAGGAGCAGGGGUGGGGAAGUACAAUGCAUAGCGACUGUCUCCCUGGAGCAGACACAGCGGGCUCUCCAUAGGACAUCCACUCCUUGUGCGUAAGACCCCGAAAACAACGAGCCUCCUGGGACAGAACAACUACAAGAUUCUUGGACUUAGAACGCUCAGCUGACAAACACUGGGAGCUGGACUACAGACUGUGAGUCAUCGACAAAUUCCUUAGGGUCAGGGUUGUGGUGGGGGUUG
rnacentral:sRNA from 1 species